CAGCCGCCACGGGAAUACGGAGGGUGCAAGCGUUAAUCGGAAUUACUGGGCGUAAAGCGCACGCAGGCGGUUUGUUAAGUCAGAUGUGAAAUCCCCGAGCUUAACUUGGGAACUGCAUUUGAAACUGGCAAGCUAGAGUCUUGUAGAGGGGGGUAGAAUUCCAGGUGUAGCGGUGAAAUGCGUAGAGAUCUGGAGGAAUACCGGUGGCGAAGGCGGCCCCCUGGACAAAGACUGACGCUCAGGUGCGAAAGCGUGGGAGCAAACAGGAUUAGAGACCCGAGUAGUCCCUGUCUCUUAUACA
rnacentral:rRNA from 1 species